GCGACUUAUAUUCUGUAGCAAGGUUAACCGAAUAGGGGAGCCGGAGGGAAACCGAGUCUUAAUUGGGCGUUAAGUUGCAGGGUAUAGACCCGAAACCCGGUGAUCUAGCCAUGGGCAGGUUGAAGGUUGGGUAACACUAACUGGAGGACCGAACCGACUAAUGUUGAAAAAUUAGCGGAUGACCUGUGGCUGGGGGUGAAAGGCCAAUCAAACCGGGAGAUAGCUGGUUCUCCCCGAAAGCUAUUUAGGUAGCGCCUCGUGAAUUCAUCUCCGGGGGUAGAGCACUGUUUCGGCUAGGGGGCCAUCCCGGCUUACCAACCCGAUGCAAACUGCGAAUACCGGAGAAUGUUAUCACGGGAGACACACGGCGGGUGCUAACGUCCGUCGUGAAGAGGGAAACAACCCAGACCGCCAGCUAAGGUCCCAAAGUCAUGGUUAAGUGGGAAACGAUGUGGGAAGGCCCAGACAGCCAGGAUGUUGGCUUAGAAGCAGCCAUCAUUUAAAGAAAGCGUAAUAGCUCACUGGUCGAGUCGGCCUGCGCGGAAGAUGUAACGGGGCUAAACCAUG
rnacentral:rRNA from 1 species